ACACUAAUUACUGGAGAAUGCUAAAGAAUAUUUUAGUCUUGUUAUGAUUCAUUUAAUAUGAUUUGAAUACUAAUAGUUCUUCCAAUCAAUCAAAUAUGGUAGGGACUAAAUUUAACUAAAGGAACGAAACAGUCCUAAGAACAUUAUAGCUACAGUUAAGAGCACGGUCGCUCGAAAAUGAAGUUAGAUGUCGCAGUAAUCUGAUCUCUAGUGCAAGUGUCAAAAUUCAAACGCAGCAAGCCGCUCGAUUGUGCUGAGCUUAUUGUUGGAGAACACGAGAAGGGUGGGUGGCAACUGGCAAGCCGUGGAGGAAUGGCUGGCUUUUCUGGCGGGACGGAGGAAGGAAUCGACACGGCGGAGGCACGGAGCACGAGGCAGAGCGAUAGCGAUGGACCGAGGAGGACUGGCGGGCCGGUUGCCUGCCGGCCAAGUGCGCACUGGGCCCCAGCAAGCGGACCGUCGGCGUACGUGUACGGCGCAGCGACGCCGACAGCCCCUGCCUCCUGCGAACCGCCGUUCUCUGCCGGUUCGGUAGGCCAUCAUGUACAUUGGCGCGUGUGUCAACAGCAACACCGUCUGUCUGUACAGCGUCCCAGACCAAACCGCCGCCGGAGGAGCGUUGGCGAUGGCGGAGAGACCGAGAGAGGCAGCGGCUUUGAACAGGAAGCCAUUGCAUUGCAUGCGGUGAACGAGAGAGAGUACUGGCCAACAAGCUAGCGGGGCGUGUUGUCCUGCUUGCUGUCGUUUCGGCAUGCGUGCUCACUCCGAUCAAUCCACACUUCCACUCUUCCCCCCCCCCCCCCCCCCCCCCCCCAAUCGAUCGAUCCGUCCAUCGCCUUUUAAUUUCAGAGGCAGGCUCAUGUGAUGGUCGAUCUUGAUGGAUGGACGCAGACGCAGUUGAAAAGCUAGCGGGAGCCAUCGCCAUCGCCAAUAAAGCAGUAAAGGAAGCAGCGGCUCGCGGAGAAAAGCGACGACGUGCAGGGCAGGCAGGCAGGCGUCUUCUACAAGACUCUUCCAUCGCCCACCUUUUAAGCUUUUCUUCUUCUUCUUUUUUUUUUGACAACUUUAGCUUUCUCAAGAUCUACUCGCUCAGUGUCUACAAGACUCCAUCGAACCAUACAGAGAAGAGAAAUAUAUACAGUUUUUUCCGUCUCUCUAAGGUGCAACGGUACAACGGAUUUCGUCUCUCUAGGGGGAAGUACAGUGGAACAACGUAGGGCCUGC